GCGGGUUCGGGUAGGGCUCAGACAAAGGCCCAAAAUCCAUCUUGAUGCUUGCAUUUCAAUUCGUCUUCAAUACUCUUUCCCUCAAACGGCGAACAUGCCUAUAAAUAUCACACUCUCAAACCCUAGUUUUUCAUAUUCUACUCACUGUGGAUGCAAUAGGUGUAGCUUCCUCUUCUUAUUUCCUUUUUUAUCUUUCUGAUUUCACUAUUGUUACAUAAAUCUGAUCCCAAUGAAGAAGAUAACCCAAAUAGAUAGGAAGUGCCGUAUGACACUAUACAACAGCGUAUGUAAUCACGGUCCCACAAUCGUUCUCAUCUACUAAUUUCAAAUCCAUCUCGAUUUGUUCGUUUUGUGAUUUGCUAUUCAGUCGUGAGAUUCGUUUUGGUUCCAAUGGUUCUUCGUUGUGUGUGAUUUGAGAAGGGAAUCUGAGGUUUUUAUUUAUUUAUUUAUUUAUUUAUUUAUUAGGUUAUUUACUUAGGUUCGAUGCCACGUCGAUGGUAGCUAUGUUUGCAAUGACCAACGAUGCUAUGAUUGAACCAAAAUCAAGAGUUUAUUGUUUCGCAUCUUGAUAGGAAUCUGUGGAUUUUGUUUUUCUUUCGAUCCAUGGAGCCGUUUUGUGCGAUUACAUUUUUUCAUUACUAUAAUAUCAAUUUAUUUUUAUAUUUUCUAAAGCCUGUGAAGAUUUAUCUAAAUUGGAAUUAACGUCUGAACUUAUCUGAGGUGAAUUUCUGGCUGACGGAAGCUUAUA